UUUUUAAUAGUUUAAAAAAAAACAUAGUAUUGAAAAUACUAAAAUAAUUUAUAUUUUAAAAAA
rnacentral:tRNA from 1 species